rnacentral:rRNA from 1 species
UACCGAAGGGGCAAGCUUCCUGCAAAAGGACUCGGCCGUAGUAGCGAUGAUGUUGCGUUUUAGGAAGGUUGUGAAUUGCUUAAGGUACUUCUCAAUGGAUCAGUUAAAUGAGAAGGAUAUUGGGAGGGAAGGCCACAGGUGAAGACAUAAGCAUCGUUACUUUCAAUAGCAUAUUUACGGAAGUCCGGGGAUCAAAACGG